UACAGAGGGUGCGAGCGUUAAUCGGAAUUACUGGGCGUAAAGCGUGCGUAGACGGUUAUCUAAGUCGGAUGUGAAAGCCCCGGGCUCAACCUGGGAAUUGCAUUCGAGACUGAAUAGCUAGGGUGCGGUAGAGGGAAGCGGAAUUUCCGGUGUAGCGGUGAAAUGCGUAGAUAUCGGAAGGAACAUCAGUGGCGAAAGCGGCUUCCUGGACCAGAACUGACGAUCAGGCACGAAAGCGUGGGGAGCAAACAGG
rnacentral:rRNA from 1 species